UUGUCGCUCUAUGUCUAUUUGAGCGGUUACACGGGAACGCAUAAACCACGUAUCUCGGAAACAGACUGUACUGUUUUGGAAAAUUAAGAUCUGAAAGUCAUGAGUAAUUUCCAUUGUGCUGGUUAUGAUUCACUGUCACCUUGUAUCUGUCAUUUAGUGAAAUCAACAGCAUCAUUGCAAAAGCUACGAUGCCUUGCCCCAAGCGCAAAUUAAAACCAAAAAUAAGGUUCAAAGUGUCGCAAACAAAACUUUCGCAAACUUUAAAGAAACUAAAAACACCACUAGAAUUGACAAAUAGUUCGGGAGCAUUUUCAUCCUGCAACAUUAACAUUAUAAAACAGCUGAACACCAACACUUUUCCGCAGCCCAUCGAAUGGAGACAUAACUGGUUGGAAGUUUUUAAAGAUACCAUCACUCGUCACAAUUGGGAAGCAUUCAUAAGGACUCUCAGAUUGGCUUCUCAAAAUAACACAUUUUGUGGCCUGGACAACGUAUUACGGAACUCUUUCUUAAGCAUUCUUACACAUAAAAUCUACAUGGAUAUAAAAGCUUUGCGUUUAUAUUUGUACACAAUUGCACCAUGUCGUAAUGAGCAUGAUAUAGAAUUUUGUAUUAAAACUAUACUGCGGAUAUUCAAUGGCGAUCAAAACAAACCCGUACAAAAAAACGGAGGAAAAACAAUAGAUAGCGCAAGUAAUUCGGAUGUUAUUCAAAGCUAAAUAACAAAUUCGCACAAUAAGAGGUUCACAAUUACGAUACAUUUACUAUUACAAAGCAAACUUAACCAUCUUUAAUUUAGCUUUAAUAUACAAUUGAGAUGAUCAACCGGUAUUAACUAUUUUUGUAAUAUUUCGUCCUAAAAUACCUUAUUAUUAUUGUUAUUAUUAUUAUUACACGUUUUUUCUACUGGAGUAGCUUAUUUUUGGCCAUGAAUAUGUAAUGCUCGUCACAUCGUCGAAUUUUCCGAGCAUUAUUCUUACUAAUUCUCAAAUUCAUCUUACCCUCUAGAUUGCGCUCUAGAAAAUACGCAAGAUAGUGAUGUCAAACUUCUUAUAUGAAUAACAAAUGAGUAUACUUUUACUAAAAAA